UACGUAGGGGCCAAGCGUUGUCCGGAUUUAUUGGGCGUAAAGAGCUCGUAGGCGGUUCGGCAAGUCAGCUGUGAAAUCUCCACGCUCAACGUGGAGGGGUCAGCUGAUACUGCUGUGACUCGAGUCCGGUAGGGGAGUGUGGAAUUCCCGGUGUAGCGGUGAAAUGCGCAGAUAUCGGGAGGAACACCAGUAGCGAAGGCGGCACUCUGGGCCGGUACUGACGCUGAGGUGCGAAAGCGUGGGGAGCGAACAGG
rnacentral:rRNA from 1 species